rnacentral:misc_RNA from 1 species
AAGUCGUAACAAGGUUUCCGUAGGUGAACCUGCGGAAGGAUCAUUACAGAGUUAGGGUCCUAGUGGCCCAACCUCCAACCCUCUGUUGUUAAAACUACCUUGUUGCUUUGGCGGGCCGUUCGGUCUCCGAGCGCGUUAACCUUCGGGUUGGCGAGCGCCGCCCAGAGUCCAACCAACUCUUGUAUUAACCAGUCGUCUGAGUAUAAAUUUUUAAAUUUAAAAUUAAAA